UCUAACAUGAAGCCUUAUCUCCAGCCAGCCUAAAACUUUGUUAAUUUGAUGGCUCACUUUCGUUGUUUCAUGUAAUUCCAAAUGUUCAUGUGCCAAAGAACAUAUAAAUGAAUUAACGAACACAUUGUCGAGUACCCAACUCCAGAAUAUGAUGCUUCACUUAUAAUUUGAAUACACCACAAGAUUUUUACUCUGUACAUUCCUUUUAGGAUUAUUGUAUUCCAGCCAUCUGGUGUGUAUAUAGUGAUAAAGAUUGAUAAUAUUGUUUUCUGCAUUUCUGCAUUGAAGGUUUAUCUGUGGCUAUCGUCUUAAACAAGCACCAGUGAUAUCAGUGAACCAUGGUGCUUCUGCUAGGGAGUGAUAUGAGCUCAUGCUUCCUUGCUGACUCUCUAUUCAUGUCGAUUUGAUGUCAGGUGCAGGUCAUCAUAUGCUCACAAUCAGAAGACUGGAUAGCAGCGAAGCUCUCAGACGUUCAUCCAUCUUGCUACCCUCUAUUCAGUAUGGCAUGGUUACCCAGCAGUAAUGGAAGAUUAACGUACGUGCCUUGGACCACAAAUAAGCUGGCGUCUGAAGAUGAUGUAUUCUGCAACCUGUUGUCCUCUUCGCAUGGACUUGGCACACUCCUGUCUCUCGGGCAUCUUAGCAUGAAAAGCUUUCUUAUGCCUUCCAUGGAUAAUUGGA